CCUACGGGGGGCUGCAGUGGGGAAUAUUGGACAAUGGGGGCAACCCUGAUCCAGCCAUGCCGCGUGUGUGAAGAAGGCCCUCGGGUUGUAAAGCACUUUCAGUGAGGAAGAACGCCUGGUGGUUAAUACCCAUCAGGAAAGACAUCACUCACAGAAGAAGCACCGGCUAACUCCGUGCCAGCAGCCGCGGUAAUACGGAGGGUGCGAGCGUUAAUCGGAAUUACUGGGCGUAAAGCGCGCGUAGGUGGCUUGAUAAGCCGGUUGUGAAAGCCCCGGGCUCAACCUGGGAACGGCAUCCGGAACUGUGAAGCUAGAGUGCAGGAGAGGAAGGUAGAAUUCCCGGUGUAGCGGUGAAAUGCGUAGAGAUCGGGAGGAAUACCAGUGGCGAAGGCGGCCUUCUGGACUGACACUGACACUGAGGUGCGAAAGCGUGGGUAGCACACAGGAUUAGAGACCCUUGUAGUC
rnacentral:rRNA from 1 species